GUAGCGGCGAGCGAACGGGGAGCAGCCCAGAGUCUGAAUCAGCUUGUGUGUUAGUGGAAGCGUCUGGAAAGUCGCACGGUACAGGGUGACAGUCCCGUACACGAAAGCACACAGGUUGUGAACUCGAAGAGUAGGGCGGGACACGUGGUAUCCUGUCUGAAUAUGGGGGGACCAUCCUCCAAGGCUAAAUACUCCUGACUGACCGAUAGUGAACCAGUACCGUGAGGGAAA
rnacentral:rRNA from 1 species